CCGAGCUACACGGCGGACAAUCAAUGCACGAGCCAGCAAUUUUGCAAAUGAUACGUCAGGCAGAGCGAAUGACACAGUAGAACAUUAAUGAAGCAAUUCAUUAGGCCUAUGCGAGUUGAUUUUGUUGUACAUGCGCCUAUGUCCAAUGUUAAAAAAGUUAUGGAAGUCUUGGGACAAGUACUAUUCUUUCUUCGUUUUUUGCUCCGCCAUGGACCUUACGUACUUAACCGAGGUCUUUUCAGGAAAGACGAUUGAAAUGAUGCCACGGACAAAUGAUUACGUACCAUGAGGCCGUAGGCGAAGAUUUGGAUGCCAUUGUUGCCGAGGGAGGCGGCGGCGAGCUCGAGGUUGCCAAGGUGGCCGCAGAAGAUCUGGGUGGACAUGGAGGUGACAUUGUUGAGGAGGUAGACGACGACGGCAGGAGCGGCGAGGCGGAAUAGGGUUUUGAGCUCGAUACACGUGGCUCGCCGGAGGCGCUUGAAGUAGGGCAGCUCGGGGUCGGACAGCACGUCCUCGAGGGCCGAGCUCACCGGCUCCGCCGAGGGUAGCUGUUUGGGUUGUAACAGGGGUUGCUGGUGCUGGUUGCCUUCAUCAGUGACUAUGCCAUCUCUCCCUGUGGACUCCAUCUCUCUCUCUCUCUCUCUCUCUCAGCAGUUUAUGAGUGAGAGUGGGUGGACUGAGAUGGAGAUGGGAGAGUGACCAUACAGAAAUCAAGGUACCAAAUAUUAAUCUGCUCUCUUUUUAACUUUUGGGAGGGAGAAAUUUCCAAGUCUUAUAGAUGGAGGAUAGAGUGAAGAACGUGGGCCACAGAAGAGAGAUUUUAGAAUUUGAACAAGCCCGAAAUUGAAGCAUUUGUACAUUUGGUGCCGGACCAAAAUUUGGUGAAGUAAUCAAAUGGGAAAUUU